CCUUCGAUAGCUCAAUUGGUAGAGCGGGGGACUGUAGAUUUAUAAUUGUGAUCCCUAGGUCGCUGGUUCGAAUCCGGCUCGAAGUA
rfam:Nematostella vectensis strain CH2 x CH6 NEMVEscaffold_605_Cont30729, whole genome shotgun sequence.